rnacentral:lncRNA from 1 species
UGUAGUAGGACAAGAGCACACUGCGUUGUGAUGUUCUCUGCCACUGAGGCUGUGCAAGAGGACACAUGGAGCCGUCACCAGGGAGACCUAUGCGGGAGACAUGACUGCACUGCGAAUAACAAGUAUCUCUUGCGAACACAGUAUGACCUUCCAGACCUUAAGAGAGAGGCAUUUCUGAAGCAUCGCUGUUUUCAGAGAUCAAUAUUCCAAUUUUCCUGACGGCACUUCUGGGUUACUGUCUGUAUUUUAUGGAAAGGAAGCCACAGAUUCUCUGAGUAGCAUCAAUGAGGACUCUGGAGCCUGGCCACACUUCCUCCUUCACAGGUGGCUUAAUGAGGCUUCCUGAGGAAGUGCGGUUCUGAGGAAGUGCAGCCAGCACCAACACACAGUUAUUCCUUGUAGCUCUCCCGCCAACGGGUGUAGGUCAUCACAUACAUUCCCAGCGUCUGCAACCAAUUACGUGAGAGAAAAGUUCCAAGAAAGCUCUGGCGAUGGAAUGCAAGAGAAUCAGCUUUUACACCAUUUGGUAGCUCACUGCGUCCAGAAAUAUCAGAAUUUAAUGCCUAUUUCUCUGUGACGGACAGGUUUCACAGUACUGGAAAAUGCUGCCCAGGCCACUGGGGACCAGGAACACCAUGGGAGACAGGAGUAGAAACAGAUCUAAGAACCAGAGGACCGGAGGAGUCUAUGAUAUACUAUCUUCUGGACCAGGAGUGUGACUGCGAGUACAGACGGACUGCAGCUGUGUCACCUGUGCAAGGCCCAGUCAAAAGCAUCAGUCAACAUCCCAGCAAGCACUAAUUAAACUUAUUAAGCUCAGAAGGUUAUUUUUAAAUGGUACGGGGGAGCACAGGUGGAUAUGCCCCAGCGGUUUAUAAUAUGUAUUGCUCUCGCAGAAGAUCAAUGGUUCCCAGCAUCCACCCCUGGGCAGCUCACAAGCAUCUGUAAGCACAGCUCCAGGAGGGUC